rnacentral:rRNA from 1 species
UACGAAGGGGACUAGCGUUGCUCGGAAUCACUGGGCGUAAAGCGCACGUAGGCGGCUUUCUAAGUCAGGGGUGAAAUCCUGGAGCUCAACUCCAGAACUGCCUUUGAUACUGGAGAGCUUGAGUCCGGGAGAGGUGAGUGGAACUCCGAGUGUAGAGGUGAAAUUCGUAGAUAUUCGGAAGAACACCAGUGGCGAAGGCGGCUCACUGGCCCGGUACUGACGCUGAUGUGCGAAAGCGUGGGGAGCAAACAGG